AUGUCUAGCCGUAAACUAUACACUCACACCACCAUCGCCAGGGAAUUACGAGCUAAAACUUAAAACCCAAAGGACUUGACGGUGUCCCACUCCCCCUAGAGGAGCCUGUGCUAUAAUCGACUAUACCCGCUAAACCCCACUGCUUUUUGAUAAUCAGCCUGUAUACUUCCGUCGUAAGCUCACCAUGUUGAAAGAUAUAUAGUAAGCCCAAAGGGUUCAACCCCAACACGUCAGGUCAAGGUGCAGCCAAUAAAGCAGAUAGUAAUGGGCUACAGUUUCUAUGAUAGAACCAACGAAAAGCCAUAUGAAAUACGGCCACGAAGCAGGAUUUAGAAGUAAAAAGAAAAUAAAGUGUUCUUUUUAACUAGGUACUGGGACGCGUACACA
rnacentral:rRNA from 1 species